rnacentral:lncRNA from 1 species
ACCGUAGGACUGAAAAUAUGGCGGAUGAAACUCUCGAUCUGAAACAAUGGCAACCUUCGACAUGGAGGAUGUCAUGAAAUUAAAGAAGAGAACCAGAGAAUUCUGUUUUAGUAAAUAGACGUGGGGGGGUGUAGUUAAAAAAGGGGAGAAAUGCAUCGGUUUUGCUUGGAAGAAAGAGAAAACAUGUAAAAAAAAAUAUGAAAAGAUUUUGUUCCACAAAUCAAGCAAAUAAUUAAUGAGUUGAUCAUUAA